GCGCAGUCUACAUGCGGUGCAUGUGCGGGGGUGCAUGGUGCACAUGCGGUCCAUGUGCAGAAAAUGCCGCAGACCAUUUCUCACGAUCCAUGCUGGUUUCCCAUGCGUUUCACACAGUCCAUGGGUGAUUCACAGGCCAUUUUGCAUGAUCCAAUGGUUGUGGGAGCUCGUGAUCACAAUCGAGCGGCGAUCAAGCAUUACCAGGCAUGAUUGGGUGGCCAGGAGUGUGAUUUUGCACGAUCUGGUGGCUAGAAAAGUCUACAGAGAAGAUCGGAUAGUCGAAAAAGCUGUUGGAGUCCUUUUGAAGGUAGAAUUUCGACACGAAAUGGAUUUUAUGCCUAU
rnacentral:lncRNA from 1 species